GUCUUCUUAAAAAUGGCGCGGGAAAUUCACAACCCGAUUUCAUUUAUUGGUUUCAACAGAAGGGCCAAACUGAUUCGUCCAUGAGUGCCGAGUUGAGACAGGUUGCCGAUGGUUUUAGCUACAGGGUCAAAUCAUUUAACGUUUAUGACGUGAACGGAUAUCGCUUCCACACAAUGACAUACGAGCAGAGUCGACCCAAUCGAAGAACCACUAAUACCGGCGUUUUUACGCCAGGUCAAGACGGAGUCGAGUAUUACGGAAGAGUUGAAAAAAUAUACGAACUCAAGUUUCAUGGUUCUGUACCGCUCACUCCAGUCAUUUUCAAAUGCCAUUGGUUUGAUCCAACAUUAACAAGACAUACCCCUAGUGUUGGCCUAGUCGAAAUUCGACAGGAUUCAACGUUACAAGGCGAAGAUGUGUACAUUGUGGCUCAACAAGCCAUACAAGUUUAUUAUCUCUCAUACCCGUGCCAAACCGACCACCGUCUUCGGGGUUGGGAUGUUGUGUAUAAAGUAUCGCCACACGGCAAACUACCUCUCCCAAACAAUGAAGAUUACAACAAUGAUAGAGAGUUUUUUCAAGAAGAGGGGCUACAAGGGAGUUUCGAGAUAGACUUAUCCGACGAGAUUGGAAUGGAAGUCGACAA